rnacentral:rRNA from 1 species
UACGGAGGGUGCAAGCGUUAUCCGGAUUCACUGGGUUUAAAGGGUGCGUAGGUGGGCAUUUAAGUCAGUGGUGAAAUCUCCGGGCUUAACCCGGAAACUGCCAUUGAUACUAAGUGUCUUGAAUACCGUGGAGGUGAGCGGAAUAUGUCAUGUAGCGGUGAAAUGCUUAGAUAUGACAUAGAACACCAAUUGCGAAGGCAGCUCACUACACGCCUAUUGACACUGAGGCACGAAAGCGUGGGGAUCAAACAGG